rnacentral:rRNA from 1 species
GAUGAACGCUAGCGGCAGGCUUAAUACAUGCAAGUCGAGGGGCAGCACGGGUAGCAAUACCUGGUGGCGACCGGCGCACGGGUGCGUAACGCGUAUGCAAUCUACCUUCAACAGGUGAAUAACCCGGAGAAAUUCGGACUAAUACACCGUAGUGUUAUUUUGUGGCAUCACUAAAUAACUAAAGAUUUAUCGGUUGAAGAUGAGCAUGCGUUCGAUUAGAUAGUUGGUGAGGUAACGGCUCACCAAGUCCGCGAUCGAUAGGGGUUCUGAGAGGAUGAUCCCCCACACUGGUACUGAGACACGGACCAGACUCCUACGGGAGGCAGCAGUAGGGAAUAUUGGGCAAUGGUCGAGAGACUGACCCAGCCAUGCCGCGUGCAGGAUGACGGCCUUAUGGGUUGUAAACUGCUUUUAUACAGGGGUAACAAGCGGUACGUGUACCGCCUUGAAAGUACUGUAAGAAUAAGGAUCGGCUAACUCCGUGCCAGCAGCCGCGGUAAUACGGAGGAUCCAAGCGUUAUCCGGAUUUAUUGGGUUUAAAGGGUGCGCAGGCGGACUAGUAAGUCAGCGGUGAAAUCGAUCAGCUUAACUGAUCAACUGCCGUUGAUACUGCUAAUCUUGAGUUUAGACGGCGUGGGCGGAAUAUGUCAAGUAGCGGUGAAAUGCUUAGAUAUGACAUAGAACACCGAUAGGGUAGCCAGCUCACGAGGCUAAUACUGACGCUUAGGCACGAAAGCGUGGGGAUCAAACAGGAUUAGAUACCCUGGUAGUCCACGCAGUAAACGAUGAUCACUCGUUGUCGGCGAUAUACCGCCGGUGGCCAAGAGAAAUUGAUAAGUGAUCCACCUGGGGAGUACGUUCGCAAGUAUGAAACUCAAAGGAAUUGACGGGGGCCCGCACAAGCGGAGGAGCAUGUGGUUUAAUUCGAUGAUACGCGAGGAACCUUACCUAGACUUGAACGUAUUUGGGAAUAAUUUGGAAAACAGAUUAGUCAGCAAAGGACCAUUUUACGAAGGUGCUGC